GCCCCAGUGGCGGAAUUGGCAGACGCGCAACGUUCAGGUCGUUGUAUGGUUUUCCAUGUACAGGUUCGAAUCCUGUUUGGGGCA
rnacentral:tRNA from 2 species